CGAGUCUUAAAGUCUUGUAAUUGGAAUGACGGGAAUUUAAACCCUUUCCGGAGUAUCAAUUGGAGGGCAAGUCUGGUGCCAGCAGCCGCGGUAAUUCCAGCUCCAAUAGCGUAUAUUAAAAUUGUUGCAGUUAAAAAGCUCGUAGUUGAAUUUUUGCUAUAAUAUAUUUUUUUUAUAUAAUCCUUUUUUAAUAGGUUAUUUAAAAUAUAUAUUAUUGGCUUUUUCUGUAUAUUAUUUAUUAUAUUAUAUACAUAUUAUUUGUAUAUAAUUAAUAUUUAAAUAAUAUUUGCAGAUUGUUACUUUGAGAAAAUUAGAGUGCUUCAAGCAGGCAUAUGCCUUGAAUACUUUAGCAUGGAAUAACUAAGUAGGACUUUGGUUCUAUUUUGUUGGUUUAAGAGCCAAAGUAAUGAUUAAUAGGAACA
rnacentral:rRNA from 1 species